AUGAACGCUGGCGGCGUGCUUAACACAUGCAAGUCGAACGAUUAAAGCUCACUUCGGUGAGUGUAUAGAGUGGCGAACGGGUGAGUAACACGUGGGAAACCUGCCCCUUUCUUCGGGAUAACUCUGGGAAACUGGUGCUAAUACCGGAAUACUCCGGGAUGAUCGCAAUGAUCGACCUGGGAAAGCUUUAUGUGGAAAGGGAUGGUCCCGCGGCCCAUUAGCUUGUUGGUGGGGUAAUGGCCUACCAAGGCAACGAUGGGUAGCCG
rnacentral:rRNA from 1 species